UAAAUCCCUUUAAUGUUAUUAGGCUUUUGAAAAGAAAGGCAGAGGAGAAAGUUGCCUUCAGGUAUUACCCAAAGUCCCUUAAAAAACAAGAGGACUUGGCUGCCAUUUUGGAGCCAGGAAAGGAAGAACCAUGUGGCAAAUGGCUCAAGGACAAGCUGGUAAGUAUUCAAGUGCUGCCAAACCUCAAUAAUUGGAAAAGACUGACCGGUGUCCACUGGAUUGAGCCACUAGGGAGACUGGGGCCAGGGGAGCUGGGUGUGAGGUGGGUCACAGAGGCCUGGGUGUGGCGGUGGUGUGACAAAUGUGUGGGAUGAGGUGGAAGGCCGGGGCAUAGAGUGGGCACACUGCAGGCUCAUGGGAGACUGGUGGCUUCACCGGCUGGUUCCAUCUGCCUUGAGAGGUGAAGAGUCUCCUGAAUGAGGGGCAGUGGAGGAUGCAGGUAUACUUGAGGCUUUUCGGUGAUGGACAUCUCACUACCUUCUGAUGAGACUCCUCUGAUGAUUGGACUCUUCUAAAACUGCAUCCCACGGAGCCAAAUGUUCUUUCCCUUUAAUUCACACGUGUGCCUACUUCUGACUUCUAGAGUUGGCAAGUUCUUCUUCCUCAGAGCCUCUGAAAUAGAGCAAGGCUUCUUUGGGGAAACAGUCCAUUAAUUUCCUCCGAACUUGGCAUGAAGUGGUUUUGAGACCUGUGGUGUUCCGAGAAUGUGGCGUCCAGAACUGACACAGAACCAGAAACUUGAUGUGGCCACCAUGCGUGUGUUUGGACCAUUACAUACCCUAGUAUGGACAGAGUAUCAGUAAUAAUACCACCAACCUAUA